rnacentral:rRNA from 1 species
AUUGAACGCUGGCGGCAGGCUUAACACAUGCAAGUCGAGCGGGGGAAGGUAGCUUGCUACCGGACCUAGCGGCGGACGGGUGAGUAAUGCUUAGGAAUCUGCCUAUUAGUGGGGGACAACAUCUCGAAAGGGAUGCUAAUACCGCAUACGUCCUACGGGAGAAAGCAGGGGAUCUUCGGACCUUGCGCUAAUAGAUGAGCCUAAGUCAGAUUAGCUAGUUGGUGGGGUAAAGGCCUACCAAGGCGACGAUCUGUAGCGGGUCUGAGAGGAUGAGCCGCCACACUGGGAAUGAGACACGGCCCAGACUCCUACGGGAGGCAGCAGUGGGGAAUAUUGGACAAUGGGCGCAAGCCUGAUCCAGCCAUGCCGCGUGUGUGAAGAAGGCCUUUUGGUUGUAAAGCACUUUAAGCGAGGAGGAGGCUACUGAGAUUAAUACUCUUGGAUAGUGGACGUUACUCGCAGAAUAAGCACCGGCUAACUCUGUGCCAGCCGCCGCGUAA